rnacentral:lncRNA from 1 species
UUACAGCAGAAUAGAAGAAGUAAAAAAAUAGUCCACAUUUUUUUUCCUUAUGUGUCGCCAUGUCACCAGAGAUGCAUGAUAACAGUAUUGCUUGAUAUAUCCCGCGAUCUGAUUUUACGUCUUAAUCAAAUCCCAAUAAUGAAAACCUAUAUUAAAAAACUCAUGUUCACCUUACACAAAAUACCUUGUAACUGCUUUUUGUGAUGAGCUCUUCAAAACAGGCGCUCCAUUAACUCUAAUCAAAUUCUCUUUUAAACUGAAAUUAUCUCAAUGGGGGAAACGUAUGAAUUCACAGUCGUUCACUUGAUACAGUGUGUUCUCCACCUACAAUAACCUUCUGAAAUCCAUAUAAGCAUCUUCCUAGGCAGCAAUUCCUGCAGCAUAUAAUGACCAAAAGCAUGUAAGUACCACAAUGUAGCAUUUUAGCUAACACUAUCAAACUAUAUCAUGACCAAAGCAACUAAUUAAAAAUGGGUCAAAUUAUGAAAAAUUGUUGUAGGACAUAUAUUCGACAUGCUAGCUCCAACUUCCAGACACUCCUAGAACAGCCAACCUAAUCUCUCUUUCUUCCUUCUCUAUGUCCCUGGUCAGUGGCAUGAUCACAUUAGGAAAAAUGCACAUCUUCAAUAAAACCAGGGCUUCUUCCAGGUGUUUCUUCAAGUUAGUUGGAUUGAUAAGUCCAGAGUAAAAUCUAUGUGGGGUAUGUCUAUAUCUCAAGAAUCUGAUCAUUCUUGUGUCAUCAUUUAUAAAAACUAACAUUAUAGAAGGAUGAUAAGCAAUAUUUCUCAACAUUACAAUGAGCGAUUAUGACAAAACAGGAUGGUGCCUUCUAAUAUACAAUUUGCCUGCAUAUGCAAAGGAUGACAUGCAUAUCUCAAGUGUGUGUUGCAGAUAAAAUUAAGCCAAUAACACAGAUUCAUUUUGAAGUCUAAUAGAUAUUGCAAUAUGAGGUCUAAUUGCUGCAUUUUUCCAAUAGCUUAAUUACCAGAUGGCACUACAUGCAUGGCUGUAAAGAAAUUUUGAAUCAGAUAUACAAAACCACUUAUAGAUUGAUCUAGUAUUCUUCAAGUUCUUUUUCUUUUCACUUUAGUUCUCAUGGCAACCAACAAAGGAAAAGUUUAGCAUAUGUUUAUCUCAUAAACUUGAACCCAGAAUUUAAUUAAAGUUUGUCUCAUAAACUUGCACUUAAUUGCCAGAAAGUAAAUUAUUAAACUACAUCCUAAACCCCAGUAUUAAUUAUCGAAUGGCUGAUGUAGUAAAAUUAUAAUCUCAUGUUGAAUGUACAUCAAAACCGAUGCUUAACCUGGCCAUUUUUGGUGGUCAUGUCAGGUGCAAAACCUCCAAACCAAUGUGCUCAACCUGGCCAUCUGAGGAUGGCCGACAUGCAGUUGGCAAAUGACAUUUACAUAAGGUUGUCACACAUAUGGGACUUGAUCGUGGAAUGAUAUUGAUGAUAAGAUACAAAAGAACAUCUAUUGGAUGUGCAAGAUAAGAGCAGGUACAAAGCCAAAGUCAUCAAUCUUUAUGCACAUAGGAAGCCUAGGUUUGUGGUGACAGCUUNNNN